rnacentral:rRNA from 1 species
GAGCUACACAUGCAGUCGAGCGGAACGAUCCUAGCUUGCUAGGAGGCGUCGAGCGGCGGACGGGUGAGUAAUGCAUAGGAAUCUGCCCGGUAGUGGGGGAUAACUUGAGGAAACUCAAGCUAAUACCGCAUACGCCCUACGGGGGAAAGCAGGGGCUCUUCGGACCUUGCGCUAUCGGAUGAGCUUAUGUCGGAUUAGCUAGUUGGUGAGGUAAAGGCUCACCAAGGCCGCGAUCCGUAGCUGGUCUGAGAGGAUGAUCAGCCACAUCGGGACUGAGACACGGCCCGAACUCCUACGGGAGGCAGCAGUGGGGAAUAUUGGACAAUGGGCGAAAGCCUGAUCCAGCCAUGCCGCGUGUGUGAAGAAGGCCCUCGGGUUGUAAAGCACUUUCAGUGAGGAAGAAGGCUUGUCGGUUAAUACCCGACAAGAAGGACAUCACUCACAGAAGAAGCACCGGCUAACUCCGUGCCAGCAGCCGCGGUAAUACGGAGGGUGCAAGCGUUAAUCGGAAUUACUGGGCGUAAAGCGUGCGUAGGCGGCUUGAUAAGCCGGUUGUGAAAGCCCCGGGCUCAACCUGGGAACGGCAUCCGGAACUGUCAGGCUAGAGUGCAGGAGAGGAAGGUAGAAUUCCCGGUGUAGCGGUGAAAUGCGUAGAGAUCGGGAGGAAUACCAGUGGCGAAGGCGGCCUUCUGGACUGACACUGACGCUGAGGUACGAAAGCGUGGGUAGCAAACAGGAUUAGAUACCCUGGUAGUCCACGCCGUAAACGAUGUCGACUAGCCGUUGGGGUCCUUGAGACCUUUGUGGCGCAGUUAACGCACUAAGUCGACCGCCUGGGGAGUACGGCCGCAAGGUUAAAACUCAAAUGAAUUGACGGGGGCCCGCACAAGCGGUGGAGCAUGUGGUUUAAUUCGAUGCAACGCGAAGAACCUUACCUACCCUUGACAUCGUGCGAACUUGGUAGAGAUCCUUGGUGCCUUCGGGAGCGCACAGACAGGUGCUGCAUGGCUGUCGUCAGCUCGUGUUGUGAAAUGUUGGGUUAAGUCCCGUAACGAGCGCAACCCUUGUCCUUAUUUGCCAGCGAUUCGGUCGGGAACUCUAAGGAGACUGCCGGUGACAAACCGGAGGAAGGUGGGGACGACGUCAAGUCAUCAUGGCCCUUACGGGUAGGGCUACACACGUGCUACAAUGGCCGGUACAGUGGGUUGCGAAGCGGCGACGUGGAGCUAAUCUCAUAAAGCCGGUCUCAGUCCGGAUCGGAGUCUGCAACUCGACUCCGUGAAGUCGGAAUCGCUAAGUUG